GGGUUGGCUCAGUGGUUAGAGUGUAGCUCUUAUAACCAAAAGGUUGCGGGAUCGAAUCCCGCUAGAGGCUG
rnacentral:tRNA from 1 species